GGAUGUGAGGGCGAUCUGGCUGCGACAUCUGUCACCCCAUUGAUCGCCAGGGUUGAUUCGGCUGAUCUGGCUGGCUAGGCGGGUGUCCCCCUCCUCCCUCACCGAUCCAUGUGCGUCCCUCCCAAAGCUGCGCGCUCGGUCGAAGAGGACGACCUUCCCCCCCCCGCCCCCCCCCCCAGGAGAGGACCAGUCUUCGGUCAAGGGUAUACGAGUAGCUGCGCUCCCCUGCUAGAACCUCCAAACAAGCUCUUAAAUAGAGUCUACAUGUCUGCAUGUGCUGUUUUCAUGCCAGCAAGGAUUUUUCAAAAAAGAUCUGUCCAUGGCAAGUGUAUGUCAGGGAU
ensembl:misc_RNA 7SK 7SK RNA